rnacentral:rRNA from 1 species
UACAGAGGGUGCGAGCGUUAAUCGGAAUUACUGGGCGUAAAGCGUGCGUAGGUGGUUGAUUAAGUUAUCUGUGAAAUCCCUGGGCUCAACCUGGGCAGGUCAGAUAAUACUGGUUAACUCGAGUAUGGGAGAGGGUAGUGGAAUUUCCGGUGUAGCGGUGAAAUGCGUAGAGAUCGGAAGGAACACCAGUGGCGAAGGCGGCUACCUGGCCUAAUACUGACACUGAGGCACGAAAGCGUGGGGAGCAAACAGG